AGCCCAAAGGCAUCAAUUAAUCAGAAUAACUUUUUAAUUAAUUUUUUAACUAAACUUAUUUAAUUCAUGCAAGUCCACAAGUCAAGAUUGACGUCUAGCAAAAUCUCAUGACUAUCCAGAAGAUAUAGAAUUUGAUGAAAAUAUCAAAAUUAUCUUUCUAUGCUGAGUUACCAUACAUUUCAAUCUUUCGAUCAUACAACAUCCCAGAC
rnacentral:lncRNA from 1 species